UACGUAGGGUGCAAGCGUUGUCCGGAAUUAUUGGGCGUAAAGAGCUCGUAGGCGGUUCGUCGCGUCGGCUGUGAAAGCCCGGGGCUUAACCCCGGGUCUGCAUUCGAUACGGGCAGACUAGAGUGUGGUAGGGGAGAUCGGAAUUCCUGGUGUAGCGGUGAAAUGCGCAGAUAUCAGGAGGAACACCGGUGGCGAAGGCGGAUCUCUGGGCCAUUACUGACGCUGAGGAGCGAAAGCGUGGGGAGCGAACAGG
rnacentral:rRNA from 1 species